rnacentral:rRNA from 1 species
GUAGGUGGCAAGCGUUAUCCGGAAUUAUUGGGCGUAAAGCGCGCGUAGGCGGUUUUUAAGUCUGAUGUGAAAGCCCACGGCUCAACCGUGGAGGGUCAUUGGAAACUGGAAAACUUGAGUGCAGAAGAGGAAAGUGGAAUUCCAUGUGUAGCGGUGAAAUGCGCAGAGAUAUGGAGGAACACCAGUGGCGAAGGCGACUUUCUGGUCUGUAACUGACGCUGAUGUGCGAAAGCGUGGGGGGAUCAAACAGGAUUAGAUACCCUGGUAGUCCACGCCGUAAACGAUGAGUGCUAAGUGUUAGGGGGUUUCCGCCCCUUAGUGCUGCAGCUAACGCAUUAAGCACUCCGCCUGGGAGUACGACCGCAAGGUUG